UACGUAGGGACCGAGCGUUGUCCGGAUUCAUUGGGCGUAAAGAGCUCGUAGGCGGCCGCUCAAGUCGAAUGUGAAACCUCGAGGCUCAACCUCGAGCCUGCAUUCGAUACUGGGCGGCUAGAGUCUGGUAGGGGGAUCUGGAAUUCCUGUGUAGCGGUGGAAUGCGCAGAUAUCAGGAGGAACACCGGUGGCGAAGGCGGGAUCCUGGGCCAGUACUGACGCUGAGGAGCGAAAGCGUGGGGAGCAAACAGG
rnacentral:rRNA from 1 species